GAUUGGUUAGAAUGGGGCAGCAGUAGGAGAACAUUUUACUAAAGUAAACGCAGAAUACAAAUGCUCUGUUGAACUAGUUGAACUACUUCAGUAAGAGUUAUCAAAACAAGUAGCUGCAAACUUAAACAUAUGUCAACUAAAUUAGACCCUGAGCCUUCAGUUAUCAAGCUCCUCUUUUGUGGAACCGGCUUCACUUUGAGUCCAGGGAGCAGAUACAGUCAGCUCAUUUAAGAUAAAGCUUGAGACUUUCCUCUUUGGUAUCACUUAUAUUGAAAGCUGCCUCAGGUUAGCCUGGACCAGCCCUUAGGUUCUAUCUGGAUCCUGGUCCUGGAUCCGGACAUGGCCCUGCUGACACCUGCUGCUGCUAUCAUUAUUAUUAGUCACAUUACUAUUACGGUCAUCAUAAACCACCGUUACUUACUUUGUUUCUUUCCUGAACUCUUUGUGUGCUUUCGGUUAUAUCUGAUGGCAGUUACAUCUAAUCUUUAUUAGGUUAUAUUUGAUGGCGGUUAUAUUUGAUGAUGGUUAUAUCUGAUAAUGGUUAUAAUCUGAUGGUGGUUACAUUUGAUGAUGGUGACAUCUGAUGGUGGUUACAUCUGAUAAUGGUUAUAUCUGAUGGUGGUUACAUUUGAUGAUGGUUACAUCUGAUGAUGGUUAUAUCUGAUGGUGGUUACAUCUGAUGGUGGUUACAUCUGAUGGUGGUUAUAUCUGAUGAUGGUUACAUCUGAUAAUGGUUACAUCGGAUAAUGUUAUAUCUGAUGAUGGUUAUAUCUGAUAAUGGUUAUAUUUUAUGGUGGUUACAUCUGAUGGUAGUUACAUCUGAUGGUAGUUACAUUUUAUGAUGGUUACAUCUGAUGAUGGUUAUAUCUGAUGGUGGUUAUAUCUGAUGAUGGUUACAUCUGAUGAUGGUUAUAUCUGAUGGUGGUUAUAUCUGAUGAUGGUUAUAUCGGAUAAUGGUUAUAUCUUAUGGUGGUUACAUCUGAUGGUGGUUACAUCUGAUGGUGGUUACAUCUGAUGGUGGUUGCAUCUGAUGGUGGUUAUAUUUGAUGGUGGUUGUAAUUCAUGGUGGUUGUAUCUGAUGGUUGUUGUUCCGGCAGUCGUCCUUCCUUAUAACUGGUUUACUACUCUGAAUAUUUUAAUCAUUUCUCAUUGUAUGAAAUGAAAGUACUGUACAUAUUUUACAUUGUUCAUUCUUUACACAUGACACCCUUUGCAUACUCUCCAUCCCAGGAAAAGGAUCUUCUCCCGUUGGGUUUCCGGACAAGGGAUGUUACAUGCGUAUAGACUGUAAAGCUGAGGCAAAUUUGUCAUUUGUGAUUUUGGGCGAUAUGAAAUAAAAUAAAUUAAAG
ensembl:lncRNA